ACUUUCAACAACGGAUCUCUUGGUUCUCGCAUCGAUGAAGAACGCAGCGAAAUGCGAUAAGUAGUGUGAAUUGCAGAAUUCCGUGAAUCAUCGAAUCUUUGAACGCACAUUGCGCCUCCUGGUAUUCCGGGAGGCAUGCCUGUUCGAGCGU
rnacentral:rRNA from 1 species